UGCGCAGGCGGUUAUGUAAGACAGAGGUGAAAUCCCCGGGCUCAACCUGGGAACUGCCUUUGUGACUGCAUAGCUAGAGUACGGCAGAGGGGGAUGGAAUUCCGCGUGUAGCAGUGAAAUGCGUAGAUAUGCGGAGGAACACCGAUGGCGAAGGCAAUCCCCUGGGCCUGUACUGACGCUCAUGCACGAAAGCGUGGGGAGCAAACAGGAUUAGAUACCCUGGUAGUCCACGCCCUAAACGAUGUCAACUGGUUGUUGGGUCUUCACUGACUCAGUAACGAAGCUAACGCGUGAAGUUGACCGCCUGGGGAGUACGGCCGCAAGGUUGAA
rnacentral:rRNA from 1 species